rnacentral:misc_RNA from 1 species
GAUGAAGAACGCAGCGAAAUGCGAUAAGUAAUGUGAAUUGCAGAAUUCAGUGAAUCAUCGAAUCUUUGAACGCACCUUGCACCCUUUGGUAUUCCGAAGGGUAUGCUCGUUUGAGUGUCAUUGUACUCUCACACUUCUAAUUCCUUUCGGGAUUGGGAGCGGUGGACUUGGGUGUUGCUGCUUUAGUUGUGGCUCACCUCAAAUAAGUUAGGGCAACUCUUGGUUGGACAUAGUACGGCGUGAUAAGUGUCUUCGCCGGCGCCUCUGUAAGGAGGGUGGCCGAUCGGGAGCUCUGUGCUUCAAACCGUCUUCGGACAAUCUUUGACAACUUGACCUCAAAUCGAGUAGGACUACCCGCUGAACUUAAGCAUAUCAAUAAGCGGAGGA